GGGCACAAGAGCUCCGAGCCCGGUCGUCGGGGCAGUAGAACCUGGAGGCGAGGGAGUGGUCUGGUGGGUUCUGCGCCCGUUAGGCAAUGGAGAAGGAUGUUUUCUCAUAUUCACUCUUUAGAUUCCAUUAGCGGUGUAAAUAGGUGUUUUUCUCUUUACUUUAGAGUUGACGUUAGGCUAAUGGGUUCAACUUUGGGAAUGCUUUUUUUUUUUAAAGGAAGGGCCGUGUUUCGUAGGGUACGUAAACCAUGAGCAUAAUUGUAUUUUUUGCGUAUUCCAGGUUUGCUUGUGAAGGUCAGAGUAGCCGGAUUUAAGUGAAGGAGUUCAGUAGACAUGCAGACAUGGUCACCUGGUUCAUUUUCUGAACCCUGGAUUGUGCCCUCGGUACAGCUAUAACCAGAAUUUGGUAGAAAAAGGAUCUACUUGUUGGGGCCCUCUUGAUAAAAAGAGAUGUGGGGGGAUCCUCGACCUGCUAACAGAACUGGACCUUUUCGGACUGGGUGAAAGCUUUUUCUGCAGCAGUCAUGUUGAAAACCUUGUGUUGACUUUCCUCGUGUACUGAAAUGGGAGCAUAAAAGUUUACUCCGCCACUUCGUCUUAAAAUAGCAAAACUUUGCUGUUUUCUGCAGAUCUAGGACCUUGUUACAGAACUCUGCCAAAAA
rnacentral:sRNA from 1 species